rnacentral:misc_RNA from 1 species
GGGAAAUAAAAUAUAUCAUAAAACAGUUAUAUCCAGACACAUGAAAUGUAGCAAUCACAUGAUGUUUACACAUCACAAAAAAUUCAUAACAAGAUAGUGAUGUCACAAGUGGUUCCCCAGCCACAACAUAAUCAUUAUCAUAAUUACAUUGUGCCCAACCUAUUAAAGAAGCUCCUCAGGAUUUCCUUUUAACAUUACACAUAAUGGAUACCAGCAAUAUAUAAGUCAUGGCUUACCUGAGGUGGAUUCUGAAUUCCCUAGUAUCCAAAUGUCAGAGACAUAGCAUUGCCUUACUUGAUAUCCUCUUUCCUUUACUUUCACAAUGAGCUCAUUUGUAUGUGUGCUAUUUCCUUUACUUAGCUUUCCUUUCCCAAUGAGAACCAAUAGGUCAUCCAUGAACUACCAACAUAAUGAGGUGAGUGAAAAUCUAUGAAUCAUAGAAACGGCACUGGGCAGCAUUUCCCAAUGUCCGAGGCAUUUCUAAUAUAGAAACAAAAUGACACGUUUUUAGGCUGUUUCCAAAAAUCCUGACAGUGCAGUGUAGCGACGAUUGACAGUGACAACGGCAACAGCAGUCGGCAGUGAUGGUGCAGGUGAGGGAUCUCUUCUUUGCAUCUCCCUUUCUCUUCUCUACCUUCCCCUUGUCUUGUGGCCUUUAACCUUCUCCGUUUCUCCUAUCUCCAUUACCAUCGUGCUUAUCCAUUCCUG